UCAGAGUACGUGAAACCGCUUAGGGGUUAAGCCCGAUGAACCUGAAUAUCUGAAUUGGGAAAUUCAAUACUGUUUUAGUUUUUAAAUAAACGACAGUGUGCACUUUUCCCAUAGUAGGACAUUGCGAUCCAUUAGUAUGUCUCUUUGAGACGGUUUAUCAAACGGCCUGUGUAGUCAGUUUAAUCUAUCUGCAAUACUUGUUAUUGUAUGGUUAAUGCUAUUGCGGUGUCCUGGUAAACAGCUGAUGGAGCUUAACGAUCAUGCCAACAUGUAAAUGGAUCACGGUUUUAAUAUAUUUCGAUAUGUUAGAAUGCAGUGGUGGCAUGUAUUUGAUCAGCAAUGCGAUAGAUUUGGGAUACCUUCGGGACCCGUCUUGAAACACGGACCAAGAAGUCUAACAUGUGUGUAAGUCAUUGGGUAUUUUGUUGAAACCUAAAGGCGCAAUUAAAAUAACUAUUAUGGGAUUACAGGCAAUCUUAAUGAUUGUCUCUCCAUCCCGGGGCGUUCUAUAUGAACAUGGUUUGAGCAAUUGAACCCUCUGUUCUAGAGCGUACCUUGAACAUACAUGCUGUGACCCGA
rnacentral:rRNA from 1 species